UAGAUUGAAAGUGACGAGCCAACUGUAUAGCAAGAGCCGAUCACACCUCUUGUAUGUAAUUAAUUGCAGGUACAUAAGAAGCAAGGAUGAAGUUGAAGAUGAUUGUUACCCUGAUGAUUUUAGCACUAUUGGUUCCAGUAGAGGGGCGUAACUCUGGGCGUAACUCUUGUGUGCAGGCGUGUCGUACUGCUGGUGCAGCUGCGAAAUUUCUGUCGCCUGUUCUCAAGUUUGCUGACUACGACGCAGGAAAACAUCUAUCAAGAAAAAACAUCGGCAUGGCACAGCAGAUAUGCGAACGAUUUUGUAAAUAACCAGAUAUCUUAAAGAUGAUUGUGUCAUGUUGCUGUAUUAAUGUUGGUUUUGGACCUUUUUAACACGUUUUUCUUAACUCAGCUUCGCGUUUGUUUGUUUGGUUGUUUGGAUGUUUGUUGUUAAAAUUGACAUCGAAAAUUAGCCCACUUCUGAUUGCUCUAGAGACCUGAAAUUUGGCAUGCAUGCUACUUUCACCUAACAAUUUCAGAUGCAAUCAUAAAAACUAGCAAUUAGUGACCGUAAUUAGCUUAAUUUAAUUACGCCCCAAGGACCAUAAAAUUGAGGACAUGAUUUCUAAAGAUACCGACAAGACUGGAGGCCUAUUGACACAGUUACUUCGGCCCCAAUCGAUGUGAGCGCGCUGGCCGUGAUCGUAUAGUGGUUAGUACUUCGCGUUGUGACCGCGACAACCCAGGUUCGAAUCCUGGUCGCUCAAGAUUUUUAGUCCGUGUAUUUAUAAACACUUUUUUAAAAACCACGUUUUUCAUGUGUAGCAACGGACUAAAAAGGAGAACGGACACGGUAACACAUUGUUAACGGUGACACGGUUGGUACGCUGGGUAUGCUAAAAUACACAUAAACACGUUUUUCCUUAACUCAGCUUCGCGUUUAUUUGUUUGUUUAUGGGAGAUUUGAUCACGUGAUUCGUGAGUAGAUCUCCACGCCAGCAACGUAAAUUACACCCUGUUUAAAGCGUAUCGGUCGCUCAAGAUUUUUUUAGUCCGUGUAUUUAAAAACACUUAGUCAAGUCAUACUUAAUCAAGUGAUUAGAUAAAGUAGAAAA